CGCACAUUGCGCCCAUUAGUAUUCUAGUGGGCAUGCCUGUUCGAGCGUCAUUUCAACCCUUAAGCCUUAGUUGCUUAGUGUUGGGGGCUCGCCUAGCUAUAGACGCUGGCGACCCCUUAAAAAUAUCGGCGGAGUCGUGUCGACCCUAAGCGUAGUAAUUUAUUCCUCGCUUCAGGCUUGUAGGCGCUGGCGUCCGGCCGUUAAACCCCCUAAUUUUUAAUGGUUGACCUCGGAUCAGGUAGGAAUACCCGCUGAACUUAA
rnacentral:misc_RNA from 1 species